ensembl:lncRNA
CAGUGCCAGCUCCUUAUAAGCACAUUUGCAAGGUGUGUAUAAAAAUGAACCACAGACCUCAAACAAAUUGGGCAUUCUUUCUAACUUGAGUGUAAUACUCAGAUUCUGAUCAUCUAAUUAUGCUUCUCACUCGUUCCCUAAAUUGUCUAGAAACCUUUAAUUUUGCCAUACCUAAAUUAUUAAAACACAGACCAAAUGAUAUACCCCCUAUAUAGCUUUUGGCCUUUAUGAGCACACUUCAAAUAAUGAGCAACAACUUGCAAUCUGUACCAAAAAAUCUUCAUGGUCCCACCUGCAAUUAAAGAUCAGAUGCAUUUUAUACCUGUUGUACUUCCUCCUUAUAUAGAACCUCCUCAGUUUCAGGUUAGUAGCGAUUAGUCUCAAUCAAUCGUUCUAGUUGUAUUUUGCAAUUCAGCUAAAAAGCAAACCGGUUAAAGUAAACAGCUUAUUUACAACCACCUGCAAAUCAUAAGAGUAAUAAACGGUUCAGCACAACAGACAAGUAUCAUGUUCAGGUUUCCCCAAUCAUUAAACCCCUAUUAUUGCCAGAAUUUGCUUUAUUCACCCUUUGGGCAAUGUUAUUCCAAGAGAGAGAGAGCCCCUAAUGGCCAGUUAGUGGGCUCUAGGUUAACCUGUCCCCAAAUUUGUUAUUUGUUAUUAUUACUUGUUUUCAUGUCACUUGUCUGUUUUCUACUGCACCCUUCUCACCAAAGCAAAGCAAACAUCAGCAGCACAUUGACCGUAGUCAGCCAUCCUCAUUCCAUAGGUGCUAUAAAACAUUUCCUGUAAAAGAAUCACAGUUUUCAAGACAGGGUGUGUCUCCCCCAACACUCUCACCAGAAUACAGUGUAAUAGCAUCCCCCACUCCUAACCCAUAAACACCGUCUCUUCGCAGAUCCGCCCAGAAAUCCUGUAAUAGAAAAACAUUAAAACUGUAACCCUGUAGGGAAGAAAAUGUAAAUGGUAACGCUGCGCAGUUACCUCUGUAAGCAACACAAGACACAAAAAUGGCAUUUAAAGGUUCACUCAUCCUCGAAUAUUUUGUCAUCCUUCUACUCCUGUAAAAAGAAACACACAUAAAUUCAUCCACCCUUUUAUCCUAUCUAGGUGGAGGUGGUUAACCUUGAGUCAUGGUCAAGUCUGGUCAUCUUUUACCAGUCAGUCCGUUUGUUUUUAUUUCCAGUCUUUCAUCCAUUCAUCCAUUCUUUCUUUCUUUGCUGAUAGUGAAACCUGUCGUCGCAUUUAGUUUCCACACUCAGCAAAAUGACGUCAUCUCAAAAAGAAAACAAGAACUUGAAUUUGGAUUACCUCGCUGAAUCCUUUUUUAAACAGGGACUCUUGUUUCUAAUUGUCCCCACAAGUGUUUCCUCCAGAACCCAUUUCAAUGCGGAGAAACUCACUUACAACAAUUUUCUCGCCGACGUGUAAUGCUUGUAAUUUCCGUUGUGCAGAUCUGCUUAAAGAAAAGAUUCACAAACAAAAAUCAGUGCACUGUUCAAAAUAUAAAACAAAAUAAAAUGAAAAAUAACAAAAACAAAAUGCAGACGCCCGGGUCUUAGGACUUGUCACUGAAUAUCCCUCCCAUCAAUAAAAAUACCAAACCUAAACCUACACAGAGUCAAAUCAACACCACCUCAACCUUUUCAUAUUCAUAAACCUAUAUGUUUUGCGUUCGUGAAACAAAAUUGAACCAUUAAGUAAUUUGAGCUCUUGAAAUGUUUUAAUUCUCUUAAUUCUGCCAGUUUAUUUCAACACUUAUUCAAUGACUUUUAUUCAACUGCUACUUGGUCACUCGAAUUUUACCUGUUCAAAUUGCCUAGGGUUCAACAAAGUCUAGAUCCCCGUUAUCAUGAAACUUGAACGGUGUACGAUGAUUUCCUUACAGUAAUUUAGAAUCAUCACUCAACCUAGCUCUACUACUGGCACUGCGUGACUUUUUCUCACACUGGAAACCAGAAUUUAGUACAGAACUUUAAUGCCUCAGGCAAUCGUGCUCAAGGGCUGUCCCCCCUUCUCUUCUUCUUUGUCCGUGUGUUCCUCCUUUAUUAAAUCUCCAUCACAAUGACAUGGCGCUCUGAAAUAAAACUCACACUGUUAAUUCCUCGUUUUCACUCUGCACCACUGCUCAGAGUGUUUUCUUUUCUUUUUAGUGUACAGUAAACAAUUAAGUCGAGGCCUUAAGCCCCGGAUAUCUCGCACGGGCAUCGUUUUCAUAACCAAACCGCUCCGGACUCUGCUCCCCAGACCACACAAAUACCCUCUGGACUUAUUAUUAUAGCAAAUUCUGUAUUUGACGUUGUCGUGUGCAGCAUUGAGCCUUUGUCAGUAAAGCAUUCUUCAUUGCAGCAGCUGGAGCAUUGUGUGUCACUUCUUAGUAAAUUAAAUCAACAUUUUGAUUUUAGUGCAUGGGUAUGUAUCAGUUUUUACUCCCUCAACAAGUGCAUAAGUGUUCAUGUGUGUGUUUCCCUUCAUUCUAAGUAGGCACAUGCAGAAGUGUGUAUUCGUGUGUUGGUGUAUGUUUGUGUUCAUCACCUUCCUGUUCUGUAGUUUAGGUAAACCAGCGGCCUGACGCAUGGCCUAGGGUCCUCCCCUCCUCUUUGGGUCUGUUUUCAUCCGUUGUUGCAGCUGCCUGCAGCUUCUCCUUGUAACUUGACCCUUUUGCUUCUGUAUGGUCUUUCAGGGUUUACUCCUGCUGUUGGAGCUUUGCGUCAAGUCUGACGACCUCCUGCUCCAGCAAGCUUCCGCCUGAUUACAAGUCCUGUACGUGAAACUCCAAGUCUGACUGAUGAGUUCAAUUAGCAGCCAGCUCCUCCGGAGCCAUGCUCAAUUUCUGUUCUGAUGCCUUGAGCUCUUACUGAGGGCAAACACCUCAGAGUCUUUUCCUUCCACGUCAGAUUGGAGUCUGUUUAUGUUGUCCUUACUCUGCUCCACGGCCUUCUGCAGCACUUCCGUUCGGCUCUUCUCAGAGGUCAGCAUUCUUUUGCUCACCCUCCCUUUUCCUCCGGGCUUAAUGCGCGUCUCGUCACAGCUCUGUCAGCUGACGCAGCCUGGGAACUUCCCCCGUGUAGUGAAACGGGCUUUAGGUUUAGUGCUCUCGUCUCUGCUGCAUGAGAUCACUCUUUUGCAGCACUGUUGACAUCCUCAAGUUGUUGUUGUGAGUCCAGCUGCUGUGGCCUUCAGGGGUCAAAGGGUCAAAAAUGGUCGCGGAGAGGGCAACGAUGGUAGAGGGGAGGGUAGGAGUCCAGGUCAGCUUCGGCUUUCAGAAAAAACAAAAACAAACAAAACAGGCGAACAGGAAAAUGAUGUUGUGUUGGCUGUGUUGUGUUGGCUGUGUUAUCCAGAGAGGGGAAAAACAACGAAACAACAAAGAUCUCGUCUCCCCCCUUUUUUUUUUUUUUUUUUUCACCAUAUAAUCAACUCAUAACCCCUCAAGUUGACAGGACAACACAGGUACGUGUUAAAAUUCUUAAGAUCCUGCUUAGAAACCUAAAAAAGGAAUUUCCUAUCAUUCAGUAGUCAUUUGUCUUAAACAAUCAACAAAAACAUGUCCCAAUUCGACCCUUUUAACCACUAAAUUUGUCGUGUCCUCACUUAAUCAUCAGACCAGUGUCUUUGUCUUUUGACGUUACGUUGUUGUCCUGCAACCCAAAGGGUUUAUUUGUCAGUAAUGUAUAAACUAUAUCAUUUAAAAACAGGUGUAUGUUAAGUGUCGCUACUUUAACCUUGCAUGUACGUGCACAUGUAUGUAAGCUGUUUCUUCAUUGCAUGUAUGGGUGCGUCUGUAUAUGGGUUAAUUUAACUUUUUCUCAAACGAGGCAUUUCUCUAACACGCACAUGUGUCUGUUCCACACACUUCUCAUACCUUUCUCUGGUUGUGUGUGGUUUUAUUUGUUUCAGUGAUUUACCAGGAACAUCUUUUCCUUUUCUCCAUGUCUUCCGCCAGAGGUUAACACUGGUGAGAUUCAGGGAGACAGCACCCAGAGCAGUUCAGCGAGAAAAACCUGCCUCAAACUACAUUCUCUCUUUUUUGUUUUUCCGGGAGGGGUGAGGACAACUCUGGUGUCCAGCCGUGAAUUUUAGCCAAAGCUUGGCCUGUCUUCUGCUGCCGUACUCAGGUUUCCAGGUUAAGAAAAAACACCUGUAUGAAGACACUAAACAUACAUUUAGUAUUUGUAUAAACAUACCAGAAGAGGUUACUCCUAUCUUUUUUGACUAAUUUAAAAGCACCUAUAGCCCAGGCCUCGCCUUGCUGGUCAAUACACGCCUCGGGAACGCCCUCCCGAUAGCGCUCAAAUUCCUAAAAAACACCAUAUGCCAGAACAACUUUAUCUCAGUUCUCUAUUUCUCUGCUGGUGUUGCUAAAUUUUUGACUAAUUUAAAAGCAUCUUUCAGCCCAGAGCCCGGCUCUUGCUGAUCAAUUACCGUUUCAAGUACGCCGCCUUGAAAACGGCCUCAUUACUAAGUUCUAGUACUUUAAAACUGCUUCCCCGCCCGGACACCUGGACCUCCACCAGCGGCGUGAAUAUCCCAGAUCACGCUUUUGGCUUUACUUAAAGUUCACAAGCUCCUGACGUUUAAAUAGGAGGCAGCCGGUCCGCGACUCUACCUGCCAAUUAAUGCAGUAGAAGGCAAUCACUCAUAGAUUACCUGGCCAUUAAGGGCGUCCCAAGUGCCCUCGGUAGACCAAACCGAGCUUAACCAUAACAACGCGUCCGUUGCAUGUGGCGUCUGCCAAAACGCUGAACAACUGCAUUCCUAGGGGCCGCGCCCCAGUCCUAAAUUAAAUUUACUUAUUUUAAAAGCCUCACUGUGGGUACCCUGCCCUCCAGUUUAAUUACCUGAGACCCAAAACCGCGUUUUUGCUACUCAAUCAAAACCAAAUUAACCCUACACUACCGAUUGACUGGCUGGCAUUCCCAGUCAACCCACAUUUAACCUCUUAAACCGUAUCUAUUUGUUUCCACACACCUUAAACCGUAUUAACUCAAACACAUAACUUCUUAACUCAAAAUUCACCCCCAAAAUGAACAACAAUGAAUUUAGUCAGACUACUAUGCCCUAUUUUACAACUAAUUAGUCAAGAUCACUAUGGACCAACGCCAGAAGCCCAGACUGAGUGAAUAUUAUUUAAUUAAAUUUAGUUUUAACUUCCAAUAUAGCGCCUUUGGAUAAAAAUCAACAGGUGGCACUCACCUUUUCUUAUGACGCCUGGCGUCACUCAGACAGGCUGCUGGCCUCCGCCCCUGUUUGUCACCCACACGAUAGCUGCAAGCUCCCCUUCUCCCCCAACCGGGUUUCGGCACCAAGUUGUUACGUCUGGUUCGGUUUGGGUAAGACGGAAAAACAGCCGAGUCCGUGUAGGUGACAAACAUAGUGAUUUUAUUGCACACUUCUAAGACAGAAGCAUGGGAAGACAAGCGUACAGCCACAGAUCUCCAAAGAGUGGACAGCUCCCCCUCCUUAUAUAAGCUAUGAUGACGUCACACAGUCAGACCUUACUGGAAAUGAUAACAGUUUGGGCCUGUUCAGAGAGUUUACCUAAUAUGGACAUCAACUGCUAGUUGUUAGAGAAAAACAAGUGUGUAUUACAUUGUGCAUUUUGUGAAAGUGUAUCUAUCAGAAAACUGUCCUCAGAUGACCCUCCUAUUAUUACUAAGUGUGUGUGUACACAUUCAUGUGUUGUAUAAGAGCGUGCAUGUACUUUCAAGGCCUGUGGACGUGCAGAACGGAACAUGGAACCAAGGCAGGGUCCAGCAGGCCCCACAGGCUUCUGAGUAAUUACAGAACUGUGAAACAGCUUUAAGCAAAGAACAUGAAUAGUACAGAACAACAAUAGACUGAUUAGAGUACUGAUAAUCUGUGUAGAUUAAUGUUAACCUAGAUAUGGUUCAAAGAUUAUUCUGUCAACUGGUUCAACAAUGGUAAAUGAUUAAUGAUUGAUACUUCUGAUUAUAACUGUGAUCAUAAGAAUACAAAAUAAAAUAUCUCCUGGUCACAUUCCUCCUCUUUGGGCUGGCUUGCCAGCCCAACUCACACCAGGAUUUAUUUCCAAACCAAACAAACACGUUAUGACGCUUAUCAAUCCCAACGCCUCCGUUGUUUUCCAAUUUUCCCACAACCCAGCUGUUCUUUUAGCUUCGGACUCGAGUUUCAGCCUGACACGCUUCAGGCCCCUUUGCCACCUCCUCUUGAAGUGAAGAAACGCCCUCGGAUUCUUCUUUCUUCGACUUCCGGGGUUAGACCACCCUUCAGUCGCUACACAGAUCUGUGUGUUUGUUGUCCGUUGUCACCGCCGUGUCCCCCUUUUUGCCAAAAGCCUCUCGAACCACGUUGGUCUCUGGUGUUCCUAGUUUUAGCCAACCCCUUCCUGGUUAUCGCUGUGGUUAUGGGAUCCAUCUUAUCAAGGAGCCCCAAGGCCAUGACACUUGACCCCAGUUGCUGUGAAGGGUCCCCAUAUCUCCGUGUCCCCGUCUGGCGUCUGUUCCCUUCUCUGCAAGAGACAGAAAGCCAACACCUCUCCUGCGCUGGCUCUCCUAACCUAAUGUCGUUGACUUUGUUUAUUCCAAUCCUAUGCCAUGCUUAUGUGUGUAAGCGUGCAUGCAUUUAACCCUCUGCACGUGAAGGUCAAAAGCUUCAUCCGACAACGGAUCGGAUUGAUAUAUUGGUGCUAUUGACUUCACGUGCAGAGGGUUAAAUGCAUGCACGCUUACACACAUAAGCAUGGCAUAGGAUUGGAAUAAACAAAGUCAACAACAUUAGGUUAGGAGACCCAGCGCAGGAGAGGUGUUGGCUUUCUGUCUCUUGCAGAGAAGGGAACAGACACCAGACGGGGACACGGAGAUAUGGGGACCCUUCACAGCAACUGGGGUCAAGUGUCAUGGCCUUGGGGCUCCUUGAGAAGAUGGAUCCCAUAACCACAGCGAUAACCAGGAAGGGGUUGGCUAAAACUAGGAACACCAGAGACCAACGUGGUUCGAGAGGCUUUUGGCAAAAAGGGGGACACGGCGGUGACAACGGACAACAAACACACAGAUCUGUGUAGCGACUGAAGGGUGGUCUAACCCCGGAAGUCGAAGAAAGAAGAAUCCGAGGGCGUUUCUUCACUUCAAGAGGAGGUGGCAAAGGGGCCUGAAGCGUGUCAGGCUGAAACUCGAGUCCGAAGCUAAAAGAACAGCUGGGUUGUGGGAAAAUUGGAAAACAACGGAGGCGUUGGGAUUGAUAAGCGUCAUAACGUGUUUGUUUGGUUUGGAAAUAAAUCCUGGUGUGAGUUGGGCUGGCAAGCCAGCCCAAAGAGGAGGAAUGUGACCAGGAGAUAUUUUAUUUUGUAUUCUUAUGAUCACAGUUAUAAUCAGAAGUAUCAAUCAUUAAUCAUUUACCAUUGUUGAACCAGUUGACAGAAUAAUCUUUGAACCAUAUCUAGGUUAACAUUAAUCUACACAGAUUAUCAGUACUCUAAUCAGUCUAUUGUUGUUCUGUACUAUUCAUGUUCUUUGCUUAAAGCUGUUUCACAGUUCUGUAAUUACUCAGAAGCCUGUGGGGCCUGCUGGACCCUGCCUUGGUUCCAUGUUCCGUUCUGCACGUACACAGGCCUUGAAAGUACAUGCACGCUCUUAUACAACACAUGAAUGUGUACACACACACUUAGUAAUAAUAGGAGGGUCAUCUGAGGACAGUUUUCUGAUAGAUACACUUUCACAAAAUGCACAAUGUAAUACACACUUGUUUUUCUCUAACAACUAGCAGUUGAUGUCCAUAUUAGGUAAACUCUCUGAACAGGCCCAAACUGUUAUCAUUUCCAGUAAGGUCUGACUGUGUGACGUCAUCAUAGCUUAUAUAAGGAGGGGGAGCUGUCCACUCUUUGGAGAUCUGUGGCUGUACGCUUGUCUUCCCAUGCUUCUGUCUUAGAAGUGUGCAAUAAAAUCACUAUGUUUGUCACCUACACGGACUCGGCUGUUUUUCCGUCUUACCCAAACCGAACCAGACGUAACACCAG